CCGCUGGUGUACCAAUUAUCCUGCCAAGGGUACAGUUGGGUAGCUACGUUCGGGACGGAUAAACGCUGAAAGCAUCUAAGCGUGAAACCAGCCUUGAGAUGAGGUUUCUCAUAGCAUAAGCUAGUAAGAUCCCAUGUAGACGACAUGGUUGAUAGGCCAGGUGUGGAAGAGCUGUGAGGCUUGGAGCUGACUGGUACUAAUAGAUCGAGGGCUUUACUUA
rnacentral:rRNA from 1 species